UUCCAUCUUGUAGCAGGUACUUCAAAAUAUAUUUAAUCUGAUGUGCAACAAUUGCUGUGUAUUGUAUGUUAUUCUUCUGAUUGAAUGACAUCAUCGACUAAGCACAAAGUAAUAUGUGAUGGUGUGAAAAAUGACCUGUGUGAAACUUGACAUGUCUUUCUAAGUAUCUUCCAUGGAGGUUGUUUGGAGUACACAUGCAUGCACGUCUUUGCCUUUAAAAUAUUGUAUACAUGACUUUCACAUUUACAGUAGUUUUGACUGCAGUAAAUAACCACUUUAAUUUUUUUCCCCACCCUCACUUAAUAGCAUUUAUGGGAAUCUGCCAGGUGCUUCAAUUGUAUUCAGCUGCAAAUUUGUGUUGGCAUUUCAAGCUUCAUUUUUUUUUUUAUGGAAACUUUUUUCUUGGGUACACUAUAAGUUGCAUGCAAUGUGUGUUUGUUUUCCCCUACAUAAUGCCUCACCAUAGUUUUUAUACCACAAUGCCUUGUUAACAUUCUCCAUUAUUUACCACAAAUAAACAUUUACUUUUUUGUUUAAAUUGUCUGAACAGUAACUUGUACAUAAGUGUGUCUUGUGUAGUGUAGUGCCUCAUCUUUGCCUUUUGAGCUUUUUGACGAAAAGGACUUUGUGCACUUUAUUAUGAUGGUCGAUGUUCUCAAAUCAUAAAUUAUAUUUAAGUUCAGUGACUCAGGUGAUAAAAAAAACCUUAGUUUCAGCACAACUCCAUAAGUAGCUUUCAUGUAAGAAAACCCGUCUUCUCAGUCUUUAACAAAACCGUUGUGACACAAACUUAAAGGUGUACCACACAUACAUGUACUUGAUGAUAUGGAGACAUCAACAUAAAUAAACCUUCCAG